ACACGUAGGGGGCGAGCGUUGUUCGGAAUCAUUGGGCGUAAAGGGCGUGCAGGCGGUCGUGCAAGUCCGGCGUGAAAGACCCCGGCCCAACCGGGGGGACGCGCUGGAAACUGCAGGGCUUGAGUACAGGAGGGGAUGCCGGAAUUCCUGGUGUAGCGGUGAAAUGCGUAGAUAUCAGGAAGAAUACCAGUGGCGAAGGCGGUUUGCUGGCUGCAUACUGACGCUGAAGCGCGAAAGCCAGGGGAGCAAACGGGAUUAGAUACCCCGGUAGUCCUGGCAGUAAACGAUGUAUGCUGGGUGUGAGACUAGCGAUAGUUUCGUGCCGAAGUUAACGCGAUAAGCAUACCGCCUGGGGAGUACGGUCGCAAGAUUGAAACUUAAAGGAAUUGACGGGG
rnacentral:rRNA from 1 species